rnacentral:rRNA from 1 species
GUGGGGAAUCUUCCGCAAUGGACGAAAGUCUGACGGAGCAACGCCGCGUGAGUGAAGAAGGUUUUCGGAUCGUAAAGCUCUUUCGUUAGGGACGAACGUGCUCUUUGUGAAUAAUGAGGAGUAAUGACGGUACCUAAAUAAGAAGCCACGGCUAACUACGUGCCAGCAGCCGCGGUAAUACGUAGGUGGCAAGCGUUGUCCGGAAUUAUUGGGCGUAAAGCGCGCGCAGGCGGGAUAUCAAGUCUGUCUUAAAAGUGCGAGGCUCAACCUCGUGAGGGGACAGAAACUGGUAUUCUUGAGUGUCGGAGAGGAAAGUGGAAUUCCAAGUGUAGCGGUGAAAUGCGUAGAGAUUUGCAAGAACACCAGUGGCGAAGGCGACUUUCUGGACGAUGUCUGACGCUGAGGCGCGAAAGCUAGGGGAGCGAACGGGAUUAGAUACCCCUGUAGUCC